CGCGCGGCAGCGGCGGUGGCGGUGACAUGACGGAUCUGAUCGUUGCGUCACGCCAGCGCGUGCGCCUGGCGCUGGAGGCCUGCGGUCCCGAAUUUUCCGGGCUUCUGCUCGAUGUCUGCUGUUUUUUGCGGGGUCUGGAAGACGUCGAGCGCGAGCGCGGCUGGCCGUCACGUUCGGCCAAAGUCGUGCUGCAACUGGCGCUUGAUCGGCUGGCACGUCAUUACGGCUUGCGCAGCGAUGCGCGCGGUGGCGGCGGGGC
rnacentral:misc_RNA from 1 species